rnacentral:rRNA from 1 species
UACGAAGGGUGCUAGCGUUGCUCGGAAUUACUGGGCGUAAAGCGCACGUAGGCGGCUCUUUAAGUCGGGGGUGAAAUCCUGGAGCUCAACUCCAGAACUGCCUUCGAUACUGAAGAGCUUGAGUCCGGGAGAGGUGAGUGGAACUGCGAGUGUAGAGGUGAAAUUCGUAGAUAUUCGCAAGAACACCAGUGGCGAAGGCGGCUCACUGGCCCGGUACUGACGCUGAGGUGCGAAAGCGUGGGGAGCAAACAGG